rnacentral:rRNA from 1 species
UACGGGGGGGGCAAGCGUUGUUCGGAAUUACUGGGCGUAAAGGGCUCGUAGGCGGCCAACUAAGUCAGACGUGAAAUCCCUCGGCUUAACCGGGGAACUGCAUCUGAUACUGGAUGGCUUGAGUAUGGGAGAGGGAUGUAGAAUUCCAGGUGUAGCGGUGAAAUGCGUAGAUAUCUGGAGGAAUACCGGUGGCGAAGGCGGCAUCCUGGACCAUUACUGACGCUGAGGCGCGAAAGCUAGGGGAGCAAACGGG